AACAGAAUUCGCUUUCAUUGUCACACAAAAUAUUUCGCUGUUGUUUUCUCUCCGUUGUCAUAGAAACUCUUUAGCGUCUAAAAAUGGCGUCUUUACUUCCCUCCUACAAGAUAUAUUUUUCAGUUUACUGUCACUUAAACUGAGGUAAAUUAUUAUAUUUUAUCACCCAUUUGAUAUGUAUCUUGGGAUUGCUGAGAGUUAAAAACAGAUAGUCAACUUUAUCAGCACAAUGCUGGACUGUGCCUGUGGAGAAAGGCUACACAUCAAGACAGCAGCCAUGGUGAUAUGGAGAUCGUGGAAGAUUUCUUUGCGGAUUGAAUUCAAGGGUGCUGCACCUGGAGAAAAUAAGAUGACCCACGAUGACCAUUUGCAUGAUUCCCGCAUGCAGCAACAGGUAGGUGUGGUGUUUGGCCAGCAGAUUUGACAGUGCACCCAAGCACUGUGCCAUGGGAACUUUGAUUACCUGGAGUGCCUGCCCAAUGACUUACUGCUCAAAAUCCUGGCCUUCUUGGAACUGAAGGACGUUGCACUGCUGGCACAGACCACAAAGAGGUUCCACAAGGUGAGCCUGGGCUUUACAAACCCAAAGGACAGGUUUCUCAGAUGAAAAUGAAAUCUACUCCUGGGAAAAGAUUCAUAUUAAAAUAUAUAUUUAAAAAAUGGAAAUUCUCUUUUUAC